rnacentral:lncRNA from 1 species
GGCACUACAAGUGACAUGCCAAUGGGCAGGAUUAUCCUUUCUACUCUCCUACUUUCUGAGCUACUUUUCUCCCUCUGUAAGUCUUAAAGAAGUUCAUUGAGCUAUAAGUGAACUCAGGUAGACAACUCAACAAAAUCAAGAAGACAAUACAUGAACAAAAUGAUACUUUGAAUAAAUAAAUAUAAACCAUAAAAAACUUGAAUUAUUCAGUUCAGUCAUAAUACAUGACUUUAAACUUCAAAACAGCUUGUUAUAGUACAGCCAAAAUCAUUAAAAUUGGUCAGCUAAGAAGUAUAUAUUUUUUCUAGUUCUCUCACAGAUAGCUGUACAUUAUAUUCACAACUUACAAAAUCUGUCCAGCAAGAUAACAGAAUAGGACACUUAACAUUGCUUCCCCCACAAAGGUAUAAGUAGUAACUAUUCAAAGACAAUAAAACUACCCUGAAGUUACUAGAACUUGAGAGAGAAGCAGAGGAACUGAUGGAGCCUGCAGAAAUGAGAGAAGCUGUGACUGAUAAAAGAAAUGACGAUUUUAGAAUCUGCCACCCAUCACUCAAAGCCACAUAACAGCUCACAGAAAAUUUCUUUACAUUUAGGUUGUCUGAGUUGGAAGGAAUUAGAAGUUGAAAAUAAACAUUCAAUUUCCCUAUCAGUUGAGGAGGCUUCAUGGGAAGCCUACAUGGGUCUCACCCCAUGGAAAACACUGAGAGCUCCAGGAGGGCUGAAUGACCUGAGUGAAUUGAGGAUAAAAUCAGGAGAGCUGAUUGCAGCAACUGUCCUG